GCCACAUCUAGAGGGGUGGAGGGACUGGCCCAGUGAAGCCCCGGCAACCAUUUCGGACCUAGCGGUCUGAGGCAGGUGCCAACUCCAGCAGGUCGCAUGACCUGACAGAUGUGGG
rnacentral:ncRNA from 2 species